GACGAACGCUGGCGGCGUGCUUAACACAUGCAAGUCGAACGGAAAGGCCCUGCUUUUGUGGGGUGCUCGAGUGGCGAACGGGUGAGUAACACGUGAGUAACCUGCCCUUGACUUUGGGAUAACUUCAGGAAACUGGGGCUAAUACCGGAUAGGAGCUCCUGCUGCAUGGUGGGGGUUGGAAAGUUUCGGCGGUUGGGGAUGGACUCGCGGCUUAUCAGCUUGUUGGUGGGGUAGUGGCUUACCAAGGCUUUGACGGGUAGCCGGCCUGAGAGGGUGACCGGCCACAUUGGGACUGAUAUACGGCCCAGACUCCUACGGGAGGCAGCAGUGGGGAAUAUUGCACAAUGGGCGGAAGCCUGAUGCAGCAACGCCGCGUGCGGGAUGACGGCCUUCGGGUUGUAAACCGCUUUCGCCUGUGACGAAGCGUGAGUGACGGUAAUGGGGAAAGAAGCACCGGCUAACUACGUGCCAGCAGCCGCGGUGAUACGUACGGGGCGAGCGUUGUCCGGAUUUAUUGGGCGUAAAGGGCUCGUAGGUGGUUGAUCGCGUCGGAAGUGUAAUCUUGGGGCUUAACCCUGAGCGUGCUUUCAAUACUGGUUGACUUGAUGAAGGGUGGGGAAAAUGGAAUUCCUGGUGGAGCGGUGGAAUGCGCACAUAUCAGGAGGAACGCCAGCGGCGAAGGCGGUUCUCUGGGCCUUUCCUGACGCUGAGGAGCGAAAGCGUGGGGAGCGAACAGGCUUAGAUACCCUGGUAGUCCACGCUGUAAACGGUGGGUACUAGGUGUGGGGGUCCAUUCCACGGGGUCCGUGCCGUAGCUAACGCUUUAAGUACCCCGCCUGGGGAGUACGGCGCAAAGGCUAAAACUCAAAGGAAUUGACGGGGGCCCCGCACAAGCGGCGGAGCAUGCGGAUUAAUUCGAUGCAACGCGUAGAACCUUACCUGGGUUUGACAUGGAUCGGGAGCGCUCAGAGAUGGGUGUGCCUCUUUUGGGGUCGGUUCACAGGUGGUGCAUGGCUGUCGUCAGCUCGUGUCGUGAGAUGUUGGGUUAAGUCCCGCAACGAGCGCAACCCUUGUUCACUGUUGCCAGCACGUUAUGGUGGGGACUCAGUGGAGACCGCCGGGGUCAACUCGGAGGAAGGUGGGGAUGACGUCAAGUCAUCAUGCCCCUUAUGUCCAGGGCUUCACGCAUGCUACAAUGGCUGGUACAGAGAGUGGCGAGCCUGUGAGGGUGAGCGAAUCUCGGAAAGCCGGUCUCAGUUCGGAUUGGGGUCUGCAACUCGACCUCAUGAAGUCGGAGUCGCUAGUAAUCGCAGAUCAGCAACGCUGCGGUGAAUACGUACCCGGGGCU
rnacentral:rRNA from 1 species